UGAUUCCAUAUUUUAUUGCCAUAUGAUUAGAGAAUAUGGUCUAAAUGCUCAUGUAUGUUAGAUCAAGCUUGUUUAUUCUGUUUGACUCUUCUAUAACUUUUCUCAUUUGUUUUAUGAAUGUUGAAAUCUUUCCUAUAGAUGUGAUUUGUCAGAUUCUUUUUGUAAUUCGUCAAUGUAUGGUUUACAUCUUUUGAAAUUAUUUUGUUAAGUGAAUAUAGCCAAGUGUCUGUAGGGAUGGGUAUAGAAAUAGAGCAUAAGAAUUUGGCAGAUGUCCAAUAGCAGAGAUAAAAACCAGAGAACCUGGAGAAAAAAAGCUUUUUCUCAAACUCUAAUCCAAGGGUUGACACAAAAGAAGUGCCGGAUUAUGUCUGCCAAGUUCAUGAGAAAAAGACUCAUAUCAGGACCCUUGUGCUGUAUGAGGAGUGAAAGCAUAAGAUGGGGGUCCAGGAUGAAGUCAGUUGAAUGUAACUCAUAGCCAACUGUUUUUAACUGCUACCAUACCUGUGUAUUUGUUUGAAAGUGGCUAGAGUUCAAAGUUCCUACCUGUCAGUGAAUCCUGGCAGGAAUUCUUUUGGUUGACUAAAACAUAGAGCAACUUCUAACAUUGAAUCAUUUCCCACCCACACUUUUAUUUUGGCUAGCUAUUCCUGACAUUUGUAUACUUUAAAAAUCUUAAUAUCACAUUUCAUAUUAUCCUUUGUGUUUGGAACUCUAGGAGGAUGAAUUAUUCCAAUUGUCUUACUUGGAGGAAACUUUAGUGAGUUUAGUUUACCUGGUAGCCUUUCCCUCUGAGAUUUUGUUUCUAGUAGACUUCACCACUGAGCAGAAAUACUUCUCCUAUUACAGCACUCAGUUUAUCUGUAGGUGAAAACCUUUGCGUCUUAAAUAAAACACUAAGCUAGUGGGCUCAUUCUGGCUCUGUUUCUCUUCAUCAGUGCUUCUAUGUCUGUUUGCCAAGUCUGAGGUUCAGGACUCAGACAUCUUGGAGGAACACUAGGGACAAAGGUACUUUUCAUUUAAUGUGAAAAAUAGCAUUUUUCUUUAGGCUAUUUUGUUUGGUUGCUCCAAAGUAAUUUACCUUGGGGAGCAGAGACCCAACUGAGACAUUGAAGACUAAGAGGAAACUAAUUUUUUAAAAAGUACGUAUAGUUAUAAGCAGUCAACACAGGCAAAUUUUUGAUGAAAAAUAUUCUUCAACCCUGACAGAGACAUUCCCUGUGGUAAAAGAUGCAGCUCUGUCAUAAACAUAGGAAUAUGUAACCCCUCUCCCCUCAUUCCUUUAUUACUUUCAGGUCUCUUCAUUUUGGGUGAAGAAAACAUGCCAAGUUUACAGUGUGAUUUAUUUUAGUAAAACAGACAACUACCUAGAUGAUUCAAGGUUCUGUCCUUCCCCAUCUUCAUAUAAACAUUUAUCUCCUAUAUUUAGUUUAUGCAAAUGAAGGGUACUUGUGGGGGUUUGGACGUUGUGCCAAAUACCCUAUAAUUGCACAGUUUGAAAUUUAGUUUCCUAGCACAGACUGGUUUCUAAGAUGGUGUGAUGUUUUCAGUCUCCAAAAACCUUAUAAGAAACUUUGCAUGUUUUAUAGUUGAGUUUGAGCAUUUUCUUCUUUGGUCAUUUUCAUGCCAUUAGAUUAUACUGCUCUAAGUUCUACAUGGUAGGUCUGGCAUCUGAUCCUUUCCAUGAAUAACUACUGCUUUCCCAAAUUUGAAAAUAUAAAAACAAAAGAGCUACAUUAAACAGUAGAUGAUCUGAGAGUUAAUUUUUCAGAAGAGAAUAGAAUGAGUCCAAUUAGACAGCAUUCACUUUAGGACUAAUGCUUAAUUAUACCAGUUCCAGAAUAAUCUAAUCCAACUGUAUCCUAGAGACUUUGAUUAUGCCUUUGCUGAAUUACUCCAAAUUCAUUUUAAAAUCAGAUCCUUUCCAGAGUAGAUCCUAAACCCUGGGGCUUCAGGCUAACUUGCUGUUAAAAUUCCCUUCUCAUGACUUUUUUUUUUUUUUUUAUGGUUAGUAACUUUUCUCCUUCCCAGCUAAAGGUGGUACAGUUACCCUGCUUAUGCUGGUAGAGUAUGGACCUACUUAUGUUCUUAGCUCGUCUGUAUACACUUGCUGGGAAAAGCUAUGCUGCUUCUCUACCCCCUCUGCAUUAGACAAGAGGUAGAAGAGUCCACAGGCUGCCAUACACUGACAAUGGACACCUUUACCUGACUAGAGGUUGACCAGGUAAAAGAAAGUCCUUGUCCAUUAUAAUCACAGAGAAGAAUAAUUUUUGCCAUGCUUUUCCCAGUAACCUCUGAAAUUGACAGCAAUAAAUUUAUAUAAAAACAGAGGUUAAAAUCUUUUUUGGUCUAAAGAUACUAAAAAUAUUUCAAAAAUUAUCAAAAACCUAUAGUUUGCAUGGCACUUUGCUCAACAAUAUGUGUGAUUCCACAUUUUACAAAUCAGGAGGAGAAAUGAAUAUAUAUACUCACACCUAUGAUCUCAAGCAGUACUGUAGAAACAAUUGUUGAUGUGGUGAUUCUUUCUGGUCAGGGAAGGCUUCUGGAGAAAGUUGCAUUUAUACAGGGGCUUCGAGAUGGGUAGGAAUUAUCAAAGGGCAGACAUAUUUCAGUAGUAUUAGGACUACUUUAAAUGGAGCAUGAUUAUAAGUCCAGCAAACUGCAUGACCAAUACCAAACAGUAGGAAAGAAUGUGUCACACUCAAAAGCAAGGAAUCAUAGUGACAUUGGGUAGAAAGGGGUAUAAAAUGGCAUUGAGUAUUUAGGGGGGAUAUCAGACCCCCUUUCAUUAUUAAAGAUAGAGGGAUGAUAGAAGACUUAAGUUGUUAAGUGGAAGUCAGGUUAUGAAGAGUCAUCAGCGACUGGGCUGUGUAGGUUAUGGGAAUCUCUGAGUGUGGGCAGGGCAGUAGUGUGAUGAGAGUGGUAUUCACAGGACUCUUUUCUUCAGUGGUGGCUGUGGUCAGCAUUAGAGCCAGCAGCCUGCAGGUGAGGAGAACAGCUAGAAAGCUCUUGGAUUAGUCUGGAUGUUAGAGUCUUGAACUGAGAAUCAAAUCACAUCUCUGCCUGUCUUGUAAGGGACAGAUCCAGGUUUGGUGGAGAGUAAAGCUUACACUGUUUUCUAGAGUCCUCUUUAGGAAAAAUAAAACAAAUUUACAAGCAAAAAUUUGCUGUGCUUCUUCCUGGAUCUUAGGGAUAUGUAAAUAAGCCCAGCUUCAUGGUAAAUCACCCUCUGGGUAAAAACUGUGAGAGUUUCUGAGUUAGAAUAAUUUGCCCCCUUCAUUAUUGUUAAAUGCAUCUGCUUGUUUCAGAGAGGGAAAUUUUAUGACAAUUGGCUCAAAUAGACAAAUAAAACAGUUUAGCCCAUAAGCAGAAGCUGCCUAUUUGUACAAAGCCUUGGUCAAGAGGAAAAAUUUUGUUUAUUUCGUCUUUACAGAUUUUAAGUUAGUUAUUUUCAACACCCAAACAACUUCUAAAAUAUAAGAACAUUUGCUCUAUUGAAAGCAUCAAUUAGAGAUAGGCCUGCGGGAACUUGGGUUCAAAUCCUGUGUUGUUCAUUUCACUAUGAGAAAUGCUUAGAACAGUGCCUGAGCACAUAACAAAUUAUCAAUAAGUAUUUGCAUUACUUUUAUCAAUGGAGAGUUUAAAAAUAAAAUAAUGAAAAUGUGUUCAAAACAAGAUGAGUAUUAGCUGCUUUUAAACAGAUCACUUGCUAAUGGGGAUUACUACCAUUGUUACCUAAAUUUAGGUUUGCAAAUUGAGUCCCACAGAAGUUGUUUAUUUGUGGUUUUAGGUUCUUAGCUGGCUGCACACUGAAUGCCUGGAACUCUUUUAAGUCCUACCUUUGCCAGAGCCCCAACCUGGCCAGUUUGGUCAAAACCUCUGCAGUGAGCUUGGGCAUCAGGGUGUAGGACUGACUCCUUGAUGACUUUAUUAUACAGCAGAGUCAGAGCUGAAAUUCAGGGUGUGUGGCAUCCCAGUGUUUUGGGGGUCCCCCAGCUGUUAGGUCUGGAGCACCCUGACUUUAGCCAUAGGUGAGAUCACCUGAGGAAGUUUCAAAUUUUCUUUUUUCUAUGUUAUUAUUCUCUAAAAAUAAACCAUAACUCAUUACUAAAAUAGAUAACUGUUGAACAAUGAAAAAGAUAGUCUUGUGUAAAAUUUUAAAAAAGCCUUCACCCUUACUCUUAACUGUAUUAAUUUAUUCAAAAUCUAAUAUCCUCAUAAAUCUCUAUUGCAAGGGUUCUUGUUACCCACUGCUGCUGCUGUUUCUUUUCACUUAAAGAUAAAAGCCCUUCCUGGAGCAGUCAUAAAACUUUGGAAACAGUGGUCCUUACCUCCAUAAUCACAUGCUGAACACUUCAUAGGGACUGGGCCCUAUUUAGCUCUGUAUGUACAUUAUCUCUUUGUCUUUAUGGCCCUCCAUGUGAGGUAGGCACAAUUACCAUCCCCAUUUUACAGAAGGGAAGUGAGUUUCUUUGGUCAUACACCUGGUAUGAGGAAGAGUUUAAGGGCAAGUGUACAAGAAGGGAGGAAGAACAGAAUAGUGGCUGUGACCCCCGGUAGGUUGGCAGACCCAGAAGGUUGGCAGCUUCUACUCUCUGCCCUUUGGUUUCCUUGGCCUGUAAGAUGAGAUAGGUUCAUCCUGGUUGUUAUGAGAUAAUAACCAUAGAAGUGGUGAAUGCUCAGAGAUGACAGCUAUUAAUGACUUAAUGAAUCAAAUGUGCUACUUUGAGAAUCCUAGUUUUAAAUGCACUCUAGAUUUUAAUAAGUUAAAUUUUUCAUUGUUUUUUAAUUAUUUCACAGAUAAAUGCAUGUAAUUGUGAGAAGUAGGAAGCCUAGCAAGCAAAAAUAUUAAAAGUCACCAUUACUUCUACAACAGAGAGCUUAUUUAAUUUAUUUCUAUCCUUUGUAUUUAGAAUGGGAUUGUGUUAAUUAUUGUUCUUUAAUUGCCUUUUCAUUCAGCAAUGUUUAUGUUGUCUCUUUUGCUGUAGAGUCUUGCUAUUAUGCUUGCAGAUGUGUGCUUAUGUCCUUAGAUGUUUAAUACCAUUAAAAAAAAAACCAAGUGCUUGCCACAGCAUCAUUCAUGAUUCAAGGACUUGCUGUUUUAUAUAAAAUAAUUUGCUUUUUUUUGUGGACAAGGCUGGCUUUCCUUACCUUACAUAGCAUGGAGUCAGUGCAAAGAGGCGGGAAAGGGCUUACCUGGAGAAAGUCUUGUAUAGAAGGCAGAAGAUGAGCAUAUUGGGAGACCCUUAGGAGGUCUAGGUAGGAGGUACUGCAGGGGGCAGCUAAUAUCCUAGGACCAGGACAGAACUGAAUCUUAAGCUUGUGAGAAACUGAAUAUACAAAUGGACAACUGCUGGGCCAUGUAUAAGAAUAGAACUCUGGCCCACAACCUGCAGCAACCAGUCCAAGAUACCAAUCCCUUAUCUAAAAUUAAUAGCCCCAAAAGCCAGCCUGCUAGACAGCAGGUUUGCAGGAAGUCAGAUUGCCAUCUCUAGUGACUGUCCAGAAAUCUAAGCAAUCGGCACCAAGGACUUAAUUAAUAACUGACAGCUUCCUACAUUUUGUCCCCACUUUCAGCUUUGGUCCAACAAAAGAAAGCCAAACAUGCACGCUGACCAAUCACAUUGGAUGCCCCACUUCUAGUUAAACCACCUCCAGCUUCCCCAGGCCACAGCCUCCAACCAGAGUACACCUGAAGUCUUCCCUUUAUCCCACUAUCGAGUUUUCUCACUCCUGUGCCUGCCUUUGAGUCUCUGCCUAAACGCAAGUGAUGGUGGCUGACUUCCUUGUUAUAGCAAGCUCUGAAUACAUAGCCUUUGCUUCGCUCCUUUGCUUGGUUUAUUUAUACACUUGCUUGAUGCUCAAGAUCUGCUGCCCAUGCGUGAUCACUGUCAGAUAAGGCCUUUUUUCUUUGAUGGAACUUUAAUUGAUCCUUUUCGAGAAGUACAGGCUAUUUUUCUGAAAGGCAGGGAUCAUAACUGACUCAUCUCAGGAUUCCUAAUGUCCAUCACUGCCUGGCUCAUAAUAAAAACUACUAAAAGGAGAGGGAAUGAGGCCCUGCUCACAAGGAUCAGGCCUGUUCUUUUCCAGUAUGGAAUCAGUAGAGUCCAGUGUGACUAGUCUGUCUUGUUUUGAUAGAAUGAAGUAUCAUCCCAAAUUCCAACUUAAAUAUAAACCAAACUGAAAUUGACUUGGUGCUGAGGGGAACUUUAUAGCCUGAAGGAUUUUGUAAAUCUCUAGAGAACUAUUUUUAAAUCUUUUUGGCACAACUCUCUCCUUUUUUUUUUUUUUUUAACACCUUCUAAACCCACGUAAAUUUUAAGGGAAAUUUAAUUUAAGAUUUUUUUUUCCCCUACUAAAUAGAAGAAGGUGCUAUUCACACAGUAAAGAAAACCAUGGCUAAGUUAGUAUGGCUUGCUUGUUAUCCCUGUUUCCCAGGAAGGUAACUGAAAUAAUGUGACUUGUGGUCAGUUAAUUAUCAUUGAGAUUGAGUUUUGUGAGGCUUCUCCACUGAUAAAUAGCCACAUCAGAACUUUGACCAGGAGCCCCACUUCUCAAUUAUGGACCAUGUCAGCACCGGGCUUGCUCCUUCAGAACAGAACUACCUGUCUAACAUUAGUACUGGGGCCUGGCAUACUACACCUGGCUUAUAGAUUGACCUUGACUGGUGUGUUCCUCCAGAAGACUAUCCAGAUUCAAACACUGAAGCAGUUUUAUUGUGUAGCUGAAACUUCUUCACAUGUGGGAACAAAGUCCAAAGGUGAGUAACUCUGGAGUGAUUCAUCUCAGAAAUUCCACACAGAUUUCAGGGGCCUGUAAUACUGCUUUCUGUGCUAAACAUCUUUUUAGAAGUCAUCAUUGGACUGUAAGCUCUAAAAGGGCGGGGACCUUAUCUGUCUUAUUUAUUUCUGUGUCUCUCGUACUUGACAUAUAGUAGCACCUAACAGGCUUUUGUUCAAUGUGUGAUGGGAUCUUGGAAUUCAGAGUCACUUGACAGAGGUAGUAAAAUACAGCAGACACAGCAGAGACACAGAGAACAAAGACCCUGCUGUAAAAACAUGCCAAGAUCAACAAGACUACAGUGACUCUCGUUGCAGAAAGAAGGCUUUGUUGGCUAGAUAUUUAUUAACAAAUGGACAAUUUAGGGCCCACUCCUGGUAGGGCCUUUAGUGUGAAGGGAAGUUCUCCCCAAUAGGAUUAAGCAAAUCUCAGGAUGAGUAAUCUGAUUGCCUCAUUCAGAAGAGAAGACUUCAUGCCGGUUACCCUAUAUUGGCUUGUGGGUAGGGCAUGUAAUAGACCAGCAUCAUGAGCUUAGAACUCUAGUGGGAGGAAAGCAAUCCUGUGUCCCUUGAGGGUCCUAAGAAGAACAAAGCUUUUUCUUAAAUUUUGCUGGCUAAAGGAGACCAAGUUUCCUUAACUUAGUUGUCAGCUCUUCUCCUAAGCGGCCUGGUGUAAAUAGCCCUGCCAACUUUGAGCCAUCUAUUUGUACAACCAAAUCCUUACUACAUUUAUUACCUUGUUUUCCCACAACUCUGUCAGCAAGCGCUCUUGGUGGGUGGGUGAGGAGAAGGGAUUGCGAAGCAGAUGAGUCUCUUAACAAAGACUUAUGUGGUGGGACACGAGAGGUUGUCAGCAUCUAUUUCAACCUCCUUCCGCUGUGUCUUCCUACACAGCAGGGGUGGAAAGGCUACACACUACAUUUCUCAGACACCCUUGCGGUCUGAGUUGGGGAUGGGGUUUAGCUGCUGUCUUGUUGGAAGGGCAGAACUGAAGCAGAGUUAUUGCUUCUGCAGGCAGGGAUGAUUGCAGGGCUUGUAUUUUCUCUGUAGCCCUAUUAGUAAAGGCCCCGUGGCCUGGCCACUAGCAUCGUGUGUGUUGAUAGAUGCCCCCGGCACCCAUAUUGCUAGGACAGACAGUCUCCUGGUGGGGUCCCAGAACUAGCAGCAGUGGUACGGCUUGUGGAGGUCUCUUGCUCAUGGCAGUGGGGUAUGACUGUAGACCAGCUUCCCAACUACCAGGCAGCAACCUGGGUGACCUGGUUCUGCUGUGUGGCUUGGGAGUUGUUUCUAGAAGAACUUAGAGUUUGUUUCAUUAGCCCUCCCAGUGCCCCGUAAACCACUGAGCAAAGUGUAAUAGACCCUGUUCUGCUUAAACUAGCCAGUUUGAAUUCUUUUCAGUGGAGCCUCUGACCACUCACUGAUGGGGUGAAUCAAGCUUUCUGAGUUAGGUAUUAUUGAGGGUUACCCUCCCCCAUUGCUAUUGCCUUGGUUUUAGACAAUUAUUUGCAAAACCACUUUUGGUUCUUGAAUUCUAGUGCACAUUUGUUCACUGUAUUCUAGAAAGUUGUGAGAAUUAGAAAUCCAAGGUUACGAGGUUUAAUAAAAUAUUCAAUCUGUUACAUAUUCUGAUUUGUGUAGAAAACUAUUGAGCCUACUAAUUUAUAUAUCCAGGGCCUGAGUUUAGAAUUGCCUUGACUAUUGUUAAUGAGCCUUUUCUCCUGGAUGUCUCAGAAACCUCCAGAUGAUAUAUAAUAUAAUCACAAUAUUAUAUAUCAAUGCCAGUAACCAUUAUCAUAAAGCAUUAUGUUUUUGUCCUUUAUUUAGUUUCUGAAAACAUGAUCCCUUAUGUCAGAGCUCAGGGGAGGCAUUGCAAAAAAAGAAAAUUAAGUUUCUGAGAUAUAUGAUAAUUUGUUGAAAGUCAUGAGGUUAGUUAAUAAAUAGUGGAGUCAGGCCUAGGCCAGGUACGAAAGGCUUAUCUUUGACAAUAAGAAAAGCAACUGUCUGAUGUAACAGGUUUCCUUCCAUAACCAGCCAAGAAUAGCCUGAGAUAGCUAAAAGAGUUAACUGCCCUUAAAAAAAUUUUUUUUUACCUGAAAAAAGUUCAUCGGAGGUACAAAAGAAAAGCUGGUGCCUUUAGAACUGUCAUUUUGGGUGCAAAGGACUGUUAUUGACACGAGUUGAGGAUAAAGGGCAGUGACAGGAUCAAGCUGAAGUGGUUCCUUGAAAAAUCUGUUAGUAUUCAGGCAGGCUUGGGUUACAGCUUUAUUCCAUCAAGCAGUGAUAUGAAAAGUGGCCUUAAGGAAAAGACAUUAGGGUGGGCUGAGGCAGGAGAGGAGGAGCUAGCAUGGCUUGUAGAGAAGGAGAACAGACUACCUGCUGGGCUUAGUAACUAGGUUAACACUUUUUUGUUUUGUUUUGUUCUCACUAUUAAUUCCUGUCAUUAAAGGGUCCAGGAAGGACCCCAUGGGAUUGAAACAGAAUGAGAGUGAAACAUUCUUUUCCACCAGAUAGCUCUUCAUCCCUUCUGUCUAAGACUCUUGGGGUCUUAGAUUUAGUGCUACUGGUACAUGAGGAGGAUUUUUUUGGUUUUUUGCUGUAGAAAGAUGUACAUGUAGCCAAGUGUUUCAUGGUGCUAUCUGUAAUGUGCUUUAAAACCUUUUGUGAGAGUGAAAUUUAUUUAAAGGAAAGGCUGUUUCCUACCAGUUGGAACAGCAUCUAGAAGUUUGACUCAUGCAUCUAGUCCCAAGAGUUUUGAUAUUAGAAACUUGCCGCAGAGCAAGCGGAGAGAUGUUAACCUCUGUAAUGCUGCAGAUCCGUCUUCAGCAGCCGUGCCACUAGGAACUGAAGCAUUUUCAGUGCCUUCUGUUGUUUGGCUUCUAUUGGGAGGACAAGGCAACUGAUUGAUAAUACUAACUAACGCCUGUUGGGACAAUCGUCAGAGGAGAUACAGCAAGAAGAAAGUUAUGUGCAAACCAGAAAGAGAGCUUUCACCAGACACUAAAUCUGAUGGUGCCUUGAUCUUGGACUUCCCAGCCUCCAAAACUGUUUGGGAGAGGAGUCCACAUGUGGAAAUUCAUUCUAGCAGC